GACGAACGCUGGCGGCGUGCCUAAUACAUGCAAGUCGAGCGGAUGGAAGGAAGCUUGCUUCCUAAAGUCAGCGGCGGACGGGUGAGUAACACGUGGGCAACCUGCCCCUAAGAUCGGGAUAACUUCGGGAAACCGGAGCUAAUACCGGAUAUGAUCAUCCCUCACAUGAGGGAUGAUGGAAAGGCGGUUUCGGCUGUCACUUAGGGAUGGGCCCGCGGCGCAUUAGCUAGUUGGUGAGGUAACGGCUCACCAAGGCGACGAUGCGUAGCCGACCUGAGAGGGUGAUCGGCCACACUGGGACUGAGACACGGCCCAGACUCCUACGGGAGGCAGCAGUAGGGAAUCUUCCGCAAUGGACGAAAGUCUGACGGAGCAACGCCGCGUGAGUGAAGAAGGUUUUCGGAUCGUAAAACUCUGUUGUCAGGGAAGAACAGGUACCAUAGUAACUGAUGGUACCUUGACGGUACCUGACCAGAAAGCCACGGCUAACUACGUGCCAGCCGCCGCUGUAAAAC
rnacentral:rRNA from 1 species